rnacentral:rRNA from 1 species
CUACAUGAAGCUGGAAUCGCUAGUAAUCGCGGAUCAGAAUGCCGCGGUGAAUGCGUUCCCGGGUCUUGUACACACCGCCCGUCACACCAUGGAAGUUGGGGCGCCCGAAGUUGCCUAAGAAAUAAGGUACCUAAGGCGAAACCAAUGACUGGGGUGAAGUCGUAACAAGGUAGC